CUUUGAGAAGUUGUCGGAUGAGCUGUGGUUAGGAGCGAAAGACUAAUCAAACCCCCUGAUAGCUGGUUCUUUCCGAAAUAUAUUUGGGUAUAGCGUCGGAUGCUGAUGAGUGGAGGUAGAGCACUAAAUAAGCUAGGGCCCCUACCGGGGUACUGAACUUAAUUAAACUCCGAAUACCAUUCAAUGAAGUCCGGCAGUCAGACGGUGGGGGCUAACCUCCAUCGUCGAGAGGAGAAUAAUCCAGACCUUCAGUUAAGGUCCCAAAAUAUGGCUCAGUGUAAAAGGAUGUGAAUUUACUUAGACAAUGGGGAUGUUGGCUUAGAGGCAGCCAUCAUUUAAACAGUGCGUAACAGCUGACCCAUCGAGUGAAUUUGCGCCGAAAAUGAUCGGGACUUAAGCCAUAUACCGAAGCUAUGGGUGCACAGCAAUGUGCGCAGUAGGAAAGCGUUCCAAGUGCAGCGAAGCGGAAGGGGCAACCAACCGUGGAGCGCUUGGAAGUGAGAAUGCAGACAUAAGUAACGAUAAAGAUGGUUAAAUUCCAUCUCGCCGUAAGGAUAAGGUUUCCUGGGGAAGGUUCGUCCUCCCAGGGUUAGUCGGGAGCUAAGACGAGGCCGUAAGGAAUAGUCGAUGCACAGCAGGUUAAUAUUCCUGCACCGAUCCAUAACUAUCCUGUAAUUGACGGAGCGACGAAUCCAACAGACCCUUUUGACAAGGCACUGCGAAGCUACGGCUUAGUGGGAGUUGGUGAAGGAGCUUCCAAGAAAAUUUUACAGGGAACUAUGUGGAGCGCCCGUACCGCAAACCGACACAGGUAUCCGUGAUGAGUAUUCUAAGGCGCGCGAGUUAAAUCUCUCUAAGGAACUCGGCAAAUUGAUCCCGUAUCUUUGGUAUAAGGGAUGCCUCCGCAAGGAGGUCGCAGAUAAGAGCGUCAACCGACUGUUUAGCAAAAACACAGCUCUCUGCUAAGUCGAAAGACGAUGUAUAGGGAGUGACACGUGACCAAUGCGGAAAGGUGAAAGCGUAGGGUGCAAGCUCUGCGUCUAAGCCCCCGUGAAUGUCGGCCGUAACUAUAACGGUCCUAAGGUAGCGAAAUUCCUUGUCGGGUAAGUUCCGACCCGCACGAAUCGUGUAACGAGUUGACGACUGUCUCGGAGAGAGGCUCGGUGAAAUUGUAGUGGCGGUGAAGAUGCCGCCUACCCGCAGCAGGACGGAAAGACCCUAUGCACCUUUACUGUAAGCUGUUAUUGUCGCUUGAUUUUCAAUGCGUAGAAUAGGUGGGAGACUUUGAAGCCUUGUUCCAGGAUAGGGCUGAGUCGAAAUAUGAAAUACCACUCUUUGUUGAUUAGGCGUCUAACCUCGAGCCAUUAACUGGCCGUGGGACAGUGAUAGCAGGUCAGUUUUUCUGGGGCGGAAUCCUCCCAAAGAGUAACGGAGGAUUACGAAGGUUCCCUCGGCCCGGCC
rnacentral:rRNA from 1 species